rnacentral:rRNA from 1 species
GAUGAACGCUCGCGGCAGGCCUAACACAUGCAAGUCGAGGGGUAGAAGGAGCUUGCUCCUUUGAGACCGGCGCACGGGUGCGUAACGCGUAUGCAAUCUACCUUGUACAGGGGAAUAGCCCAGAGAAAUUUGGAUUAAUGCCCCAUAGUAUAUAACCUUCGCAUGUUGGUUAUAUUAAAGUUCCAACGGUACAAGAUGAGCAUGCGUCCCAUUAGUUAGUUGGUAAGGUUACGGCUUACCAAGACGUUGAUGGGUAGGGGUCAUGAGAGGGAGAUCCCCCACGAUGGUAUGGAGACACAGACCAGAAUCGUACGGGAGGCAGGAGUGAGGCGGAUGGGAGAAGGGACGCAAGACUAGCAAUGGCCUACCGCGUGCCGGAAGACGGUCGCGUGGAUUGUAAACUGCUAUUGUACAGGAAGUACCCCUCCCACGGAUGGGAGCAUGACGGUACUGUAGGAAUAAGCAUCGGCUAACUCCGUG